GGGGUGGCCACGCGGGGGCCCGCAGCGGGACAGGGGGGCUGCUGGCUGUCGUUGUUUCUGUUGUUUCUGGGGAGGAGGUGGAGGAGGAGGAGGUGGAGGAGGUGGUGUUGAGGGGCUUGGAGGAGGAGGUGGAGGAGGUGGUGUUGAGGGGCUUGGAGGAGGAGGAGGUGGAGGAGGUGGUGUUGAGGGGCUUGGAGGAGGAGGAGGUGGAGGAGGUGGUGUUGAGGGGCUUGGAGGAGGAGGUGGAGGAGGUGGUGUUGAGGGGCUUGGAGGAGGAGGUGGAGGAGGAGGUGG
ensembl:lncRNA